CCUACGGGUGGCAGCAGUGAGGAAUAUUGGUCAAUGGCCGUAAGGCUGAACCAGCCAAGUAGCGUGAGGGAAGACUGCCCUUUGGGUUGUAAACCUCUUUUAUGCGGGGAUAAAGGUGUCAACGUGUGGAUGUUUGCCGGUCCCGCAUGAAUAAGGACCGGCUAAUUCCGUGCCAGCAGCCGCGGUAAUAAGGAAGGUCCGGGCGUUAUCCGGAUUGAUUGGGUUGAAAGGGAGCGUAGGCCGGUCUUUAAGCGUGCUGGGAAAUUCUGGGGCUCAACCAGGAGAGUGCGGCGCGAAGUGGAGACCUUGAGUGCGCGGAAGGCAGGCGGAAUUCGUGGUGUAGCGGUGAAAAGCUUAGAUAUCACGAAGAACCCCGAUUGCGAAGGCAGCCUGCCGCAGCGUUACUGACGCUGAAGCUCGAAAGCGCGGGUAUCGAACAGGAUUAGAGACCCUAGUAGUC
rnacentral:rRNA from 1 species